rfam:Cavia porcellus supercont2_4 genomic scaffold, whole genome shotgun sequence.
UGGCGCCCAGCGUGGGGGCUCCUGGCAUGAAGGAGUCAACGAGGGAGCCAUUGGAGAAAGCCAGCUGAAAGUGAAAGCAAAUUGAACCAAAGACUGCGGCGAGAAGUAAAAACAAACUAAAUCAAGGACUAAGGCCAAAAGCAAAUGCACACCUGACGUGACACCCGAGUCACGGUUAGUUAACUGAGACCCCAUUCCCUUUCCUGGACAUGGGUCAAGCAUUGAGUGAACACAAAUUGUUCGUGGGAGGCCUUAUAAAGGCAUUAAAGACAGGAGGGGUAAGGGUUAGAACAAAAGAAUUAUUGCAGUAUUUUCAAUUUAUUCAUAAGGUUUGCCCUU